rnacentral:rRNA from 1 species
UCUUGCCAAAGGCACCGCUGGGUAGCUAUGUGCGGAAGGGAUAAGUGCUGAAAGCAUCUAAGCAUGAAGCCCCCCUCAAGAUGAGAUUUCCCAUAGCGUUAAGCUAGUAAGAUCCCUGAAAGAUGAUCAGGUUGAUAGGUCAGAGGUGGAAGCACGGUGACGUGUGGAGCUGACUGAUACUAAUCGAUCGAGGACUUAACCAAAUAA